UCUGAAUGAAGCAUAUAUGGGGUUCAGGAGUAAUCUUUUGAUGAUGCAGCCUCCUCCUUCUCUCGACAAUGUCUAUAAUAUGGUCCUCAAUGAUGAGAAGCAAAGACAAGUUCAGUCUUCUUCUCACCUUGACAAUGUCUAUAAUACGGUCCUCAAUGAUGAGAAACAAAAACAAGUCCAGUCUUCUUCUCACUUUAAUCUAGACUCUGUCUCUUUCAAUGUGCAUACUAAUAGGCAGCCUGUUGGAUUUAACAAGGCCACAGUGUCUGUUCCUCCUCCUUCUUUCAGACAGAGAGUCAAUUUUGACCAGGCAAGAGGACCUUUAUUUUGUAGAUACUGUAAAAAAUCUGGACACUUAAUUGAUAAGUGUUUCAAGAUCCAUGGGUAUCCACAAAAUAUAAAUUUUAACAAGGGGAGGAGACCUGAUGCUGCUCAUCUUAGUACUUGUCUGGAUUUUCCUCAUUCUGAAGGAAUUUUGCCUGUUCGUCAAGGGAAUCCUCCUGAAGGCCAUCAACCUGUUGCAAAAAUAGAUGGCCAGAGUUCUGUGAUACCAGGGUUGAGCAAACAAGAUUAUGACCAGUUGAUGAAUUUAUUACACCAGACCAAGUUAGGGGACUCCACUGCUCA
rnacentral:lncRNA from 1 species